rnacentral:miRNA from 1 species
ACCCUGCUCCUCUCCCUCCAG